GCUGCAGAGAGUCCAGAUGAGACUGAUGUUGGGGUCACUGUUAAACUGUCGCCACUGAUUGAGGACAACUCUCAACACAGUGGAAUGAAAAAUGUAGCCGACUGAGCAGAUGUCACAAAUAUGUUCCUGUUGUGGAUGGUCAUGAAAGACAAUGACUUUUGCAGGAGGCUUUAGAGAGUCUGGACAGCAGUGAUGUAGAGGCCACCCCUCAUCUGUCAACACGGCACGAGGAAGACGUUCCAAACAGUGAUGGCGGUUCCUCACCCACCUCUGAAAAGGUACAACACUUUGGAAUAUUUUACAGCACCAAAAAACUGAUAUGACAGCAGACAUGUGGGGUCAUUGGGAUGAAUGCAAUGUAUGUAGUGGGAGGAUGGAGUUUGGCCUUAAAACAGAAAAGGUCAUGAGGUCACCAAAGUUGACUAGAGUUCUUCCUCUGAGCAGCAUGAAUGUGCUCUCAAACCUUCAUGGCAAUCUGUCCAAUAAAUUGUUCAAGACAUCAAAUUCAAAAGGUGAACUAAUGGGAUCAAUUUAGGGAUUAUGAGUGCACUCAUCAAAUAUCCAUCCACUGUUCAGAUUUAGUCAUAGAUCUUGUGCAAGUGGAGCAUUUUGGCCACAUGGUGGAGUAAGAGGAGAAGUCAUGAGGUCACCCAAAAUUAAACGAGUUAAUUCUGUUGGCUGCAUGAAUGUGUUCACUAAGUGUCAGAUGAAUGUAAUCAGAUCAGUUAUCAAAUUAGAUUAUUUCAUUAUAGGGUGAUGUUAGAGAAAAGCUGAUGGUGACAAUUGAACUGAUGUGUUUCAUUCCCUGAGAAUCACAAGUAGACUCAGCAAAGUGAUCUGGCUGUUACAAUAGAGAUGUUUGUCCUGGAGGUGGCGCUAUGUAAAAGUUAAUACGGCCACCACAGUCGAGAGGUGUCUUCCUGUACGGACCAUGAAUGCACUAACUAGUGUCAUGGCAAUCAAAUAAUUACAUUUUGCUGGGCUGUACAUUAACUUUUUGUUAAAUGUCCAUAAUAAUACUUCAGACACAUGUUAAUCUGCAGAAAUGGAGAUUGUGGUGGAAGAAGUAUUCAGAUCCUUUACUUCA